ACAAGCUAGACAAAAGAUUUCAAAAAAAAAUCAAGCUGAAGCGAUUGAGUGUGAUUUACACUACCUUCUGAAACGUACAACUCGAGUUCAAUUUCAUCACCAUGCCUGACGUCAAGUGUGACUGCUGCAAGGAGGGCAAGGAGUGUGCCUGCAAGGGACAAGAUUGCUGUAAAACUGGUGAAUGCUGCAAGGAUGGAAUCUGCUGUGGAAAAUGCAC